rnacentral:tRNA from 1 species
GAGUUUGAAGUGAUUAUCACAAUUAGUUUCGACCUAAUCUUUGGUAUUUAUUUACCCAAACUUU